CUUCCGGUGAUGGGGAUGUGUCACUUCCUCUCAAGCUUGGCGUUUGUUUGGUGGGGUCCCACGCGGGUUCAACAUGCGUAUCGAGAAGUGUUAUUUCUGUUCGGGGCCCAUCUACCCUGGACACGGCAUGAUGUUCGUCCGCAACGAUUGCAAGGUGUUCAGAUUUUGCAAAUCUAAAUGUCAUAAAAACUUUAAAAAGAAGCGCAAUCCUCGCAAAGUUAGGUGGACCAAAGCAUUCCGGAAAGCAGCUGGUAAAGAGCUUACAGUGGAUAAUUCAUUUGAAUUUGAAAAACGUAGAAAUGAACCUAUCAAAUACCAGCAAGAGCUAUGGAAUAAAACUAUUGAUGCAAUGAAGAGAGUUGAAGAGAUCAAACAGAAACGCCAAGCUAAAUUUAUAAUAAACAGAUUGAAGAAAAAUAAAGAGCUACAGAAAGUUCAGGAUAUCAAAGAAGUCAAGCAAAACAUCCAUCUUAUCCGAGCCCCUCUUGUAGGCAAAGGGAAGCAGUUGGAAGAGAAAAUGGUACAGCAGUUACAAGAGGAUGUGGACAUGGAAGAUGCUCCUUAAAAGUCUCUGUAACCAUUUCUUUUGUGUACAUUUGAAAAUACCCUUUGGAUACUUGGAACUGUUAAAUUAUCUUAUUUUUUACAUAAGGUCACUUAAAUGAAAAGUAAUUAAAAUACAUCUUUCCUACAUUGCCUUCUACAUAACAUCAGAUAUUACGGAUGUUAGAUUGCAUCUCAGUGUUAAAUCUUCACUGAUAGAUGUACUUACGUAAAUCAUGAAAAUUCUACUUAUAACCAUAGAAGUGAAUUGUGGAUGUAAAAUGGUUAUGCCAUUUGGAUAAUGGCACUAGGCAGCAUUUGUAUAGUAACUAAUGGCAAAAAUUCAUGGCUAGUGAUGUAUAAAAUAAAAUAUUCUUUGCAGUAAAA